rnacentral:rRNA from 1 species
UACGGGGGGAGCAAGCGUUGUUCGGAUUUACUGGGCGUAAAGGGCGCGUAGGCGGCCACUGCAAGUCAGUUGUGAAAUCUCCGGGCUUAACCCGGAAAGGUCAACUGAUACUGCAGGGCUAGAGUGCAGAAGGGGCAACUGGAAUUCUCGGUGUAGCGGUGAAAUGCGUAGAUAUCGAGAGGAACACCUGCGGCGAAGGCGGGUCUCUGGGCCGAUACUGACGCUGAGGAGCGAAAGCGUGGGGAGCAAACAGG